UACGGAGGGGGCUAGCGUUGUCCGAAGUUACUGGGCGUAAAGCGCGCGUAGGCGGGUUGGUAAGUCCGCUGUGAAAGCCCGGAGCUUAACUCCGGAGGGUCGGUGGAUACUGCCAGUCUUGAAGGUGCUAGGGGGAGAUGGAAUUACCGGUGUAGCGGUGAAAUGCGUAGAUAUCGGUAGGAACACCAGUGGCGAAGGCGGUCUCCUGGGGCAUUCUUGACGCUGAGGCGCGAAAGCUGGGGGAGCAAACGGG
rnacentral:rRNA from 1 species